rnacentral:misc_RNA from 1 species
UACUCUUACAGUAUGGCCUUGGUGG